AUGUAUCAUGGAUCGAUUAUCGUACGUAAACAAACACGCAUCUAUCGAAUUAAUCAAUCAUGGAGGACGGUGUGUACAACAUACUUCGAACAGUGCUAAGAAAACUUCGAAUUUGAGAAGUACAAAGAAAUAGCUGGGCCAAGUUGAUGCAUUAAUUUGUAACAUUCCUGAAGUCGUUUUCUAUCGCCAAUUCUUUCAAGAGUUUUGGCAGCUUCUGCAAGCAUACCAGCACGUUCACCAGGUGAAGACAAUAAUAAAGCUGACGAAGGUGAGGCUGGAGAUAAUGGUGCUGGAGCUGGAGAUAAAGAAGGUUCACUGGAGUCUGAACGUGGUGGUGUUAAUUCACCACAUGCCAAUAAAUCACGUAUGUUUGGUCUUUGCGUUGCUAAUUUUAAUGACA